rnacentral:tRNA from 1 species
GUUUCUGUAGUGUAGUGGUUAUCACGUUCUCCUCACACGCGAAAGGUCCCCGGUUCGAAACCGGGCAGAAACA